rnacentral:rRNA from 1 species
CCUACGGGAGGCUGCAGUAGGGAAUAUUGCUCAAUGGGGGAAACCCUGAAGCAGCAACGCCGCGUGGAGGAUGAAGGUUUUCGGAUUGUAAACUCCUUUUGUUAGAGAAGAAAAUGACGGUAUCUAACGAAUAAGCACCGGCUAACUCCGUGCCAGCAGCCGCGGUAAUACGGAGGGUGCAAGCGUUACUCGGAAUCACUGGGCGUAAAGAGGGCGUAGGCGGGAUAGCAAGUCAGAUGUGUAAUCCUAUGGCUUAACCAUAGAAUUGCAUUUGAAACUGUUAUUCUAGAGUAUGGGAGAGGUAGGUGGAAUUCUUGGUGUAGGGGUAAAAUCCGUAGAGAUCACGAGGAAUACUCAUUGCGAAGGCGACCUGCUAGAACAUAACUGACGCUGAUGCGCGAAAGCGUGGGGAGCAAACAGGACUAGAUACCCCAGUAGUC